rfam:Diaporthe ampelina DA_912_scaffold_v01_29, whole genome shotgun sequence.
CCAAAUAACCCAUUAUUUGAACUCAUGCGGCAUGCAUUCGAAGUAAUUCUUUUGUGUGAAGCCCGUUAAAUAACAAUCUUAUGAUUGUCCAACCUUUUUCUAUUAUGUUCAAGUUAAUAAGCAUAUAAGAAGGUUGGUGAGUUAGAUUACUAAGGAUAGU